rnacentral:rRNA from 1 species
UCUUAAUCCAACAUCGAGGUCGCAACCCAUUUUGUCGAUAGGAACUCUCAAAAAUGAUUACGCUGUUAUCCCUAAGGUAACUUAAUCUUAUGAUCAUAAAUUAUGGAUCAAAUAAACAUAAAUCAAUGAUUUAAUAAUGAAGAGUUUAAUUAUUCUUCAAGUCACCCCAACUAAACAUUAAAAAACUUAUACUUAAAAAUAGACAAAAAUAAUAUAAAUCUAAAAAUGUUAAGCUCUAUAGGGUCUUCUCGUCCUAAAGAAAUAUUUAAGCCUUUUAACUCAAAAGUUAAAUUCCAAAAUUUAUUAAGAGACAGUUAAUUUCUCGUUAAACCAUUCAUUCAAGCCCCUAAUUAAGAAUCUAAUGAUUAUGCUACCUUUGCACGGU